rnacentral:rRNA from 1 species
CAAACUAAAGAUGGCGACCGGCGCACGGGUGAGUAACACGUAUCCAACCUGCCGAUAACUCGGGGAUAGCCUUUCGAAAGAAAGAUUAAUAUCCGAUAGUAUAUUUUCUCCGCAUGGCGAGAAUAUUAAAGAAUUUCGGUUAUCGAUGGGGAUGCGUUCCAUUAGUUUGUUGGCGGGGUAACGGCCCACCAAGACUACGAUGGAUAGGGGUUCUGAGAGGAAGGUCCCCCACAUUGGAACUGAGACGCGGUCCAA